AGAGAAAUUUGGAUUAAUACCUCAUAGUAUUAUUGAAUGGCAUCAUUUAAUAAUUAAAGUCACAACGGUAUAAGAUGAGCAUGCGUCCCAUUAGUUAGUUGGUAAGGUAACGGCUUACCAAGACAAUGAUGGGUAGGGGUCCUGAGAGGGAGAUCCCCCACACUGGUACUGAGACACGGACCAGACUCCUACGGGAGGCAGCAGUGAGGAAUAUUGGUCAAUGGGCGCAAGCCUGAACCAGCCAUGCCGCGUGCAGGAUGACGGUCCUAUGGAUUGUAAACUGCUUUUAUACAGGAAGAAACACUCGGACGUGUCCGAGCUUGACGGUACUGUAGGAAUAAGGAUCGGCUAACUCCGUGCCAGCAGCCGCGGUAAUACGGAGGAUCCAAGCGUUAUCCGGAAUCAUUGGGUUUAAAGGGUCCGUAGGCGGUUUAAUAAGUCAGUGGUGAAAGCCUAUCGCUUAACGAUAGAACGGCCAUUGAUACUGUUAGACUUGAAUUAGUGGGAAGUAACUAGAAUAUGUAGUGUAGCGGUGAAAUGCUUAGAUAUUACAUGGAAUACCAAUUGCGAAGGCAGGUUACUAUCACUAUAUUGACGCUGAUGGACGAAAGCGUGGGGAGCGAACAGGAUUAGAUACCCUGGUAGUCCACGCCGUAAACGAUGGAUACUAGCUGUUCGGAGCAAUCUGAGUGGCUAAGCGAAAGUGAUAAGUAUCCCACCUGGGGAGUACGUUCGCAAGAAUGAAACUCAAAGGAAUUGACGGGGGCCCGCACAAGCGGAGGAGCAUGUGGUUUAAUUCGAUGAUACGCGAGGAACCUUACCAGGGCUUAAAUGGGAGACGACAGGACUGGAAACAGUUUUUUCUUCGGACGUCUUUCAAGGUGCUGCAUGGUUGUCGUCAGCUCGUGCCGUGAGGUGUCAGGUUAAGUCCUAUAACGAGCGCAACCCCUAUUGUUAGUUGCCAGCGGGUCAUGCCGGGAACUCUAACAAGACUGCCGGUGCAAACCGUGAGGAAGGUGGGGAUGACGUCAAAUCAUCACGGCCCUUACGUCCUGGGCUACACACGUGCUACAAUGGGCGGUACAGAGAGCAACCACUGCGCAAGCAGGCGCGAAUCUUCAAAACCGUUCUCAGUUCGGAUCGGAGUCUGCAACUCGACUCCGUGAAGCUGGAUUCGCUAGUAAUCGCAUAUCAGCCAUGAUGCGGUGAAUACGUUCCCGGGCCUUGUACACACCGCCCGUCAAGCCAUGGAAGCUGGGGGUACCUGAAGUCGGUGACCGCAAGGAGCUGCCUAGGGUAAAACUGGUAACUGGGGCUAAGUCGUAACAAGGUA
rnacentral:rRNA from 1 species